AACGAACGCUGGCGGCAGGCCUAACACAUGCAAGUCGAGCGAGGACUUCGGUCCUAGCGGCGGACGGGUGAGUAACGCGUGGGAACGUGCCCUUUGCUUCGGAAUAGCCCUGGGAAACUGGGAGUAAUACCGGAUGAGCCCUUUGGGGGAAAGAUUUAUCGGCGAAGGAUCGGCCCGCGUUGGAUUAGGUAGUUGGUGGGGUAAUGGCCUACCAAGCCGACGAUCCAUAGCUGGUUUGAGAGGAUGAUCAGCCACACUGGGACUGAGACACGGCCCAGACUCCUACGGGAGGCAGCAGUGGGGAAUCUUAGACAAUGGGGGAAACCCUGAUCUAGCCAUGCCGCGUGAGCGAUGAAGGCCUUAGGGUUGUAAAGCUCUUUCAGCUGGGAAAAUAAUGACGGUACCAGCAGAAGAAGCCCCGGCUAACUCCGUG
rnacentral:rRNA from 1 species